rnacentral:rRNA from 1 species
CAGUAGCCGCGGUAAUACGUAGGGUGCGAGCGUUAAUCGGAAUUACUGGGCGUAAAGCGUGCGCAGGCGGUUAUAUAAGACAGAUGUGAAAUCCCCGGGCUCAACCUGGGACCUGCAUUUGUGACUGUAUAGCUAGAGUACGGUAGAGGGGGAUGGAAUUCCGCGUGUAGCAGUGAAAUGCGUAGAUAUGCGGAGGAACACCGAUGGCGAAGGCAAUCCCCUGGACCUGUACUGACGCUCAUGCACGAAAGCGUGGGGAGCAGACAGGAUUAGAUACCCCCGUAGUCCCUGUCUCUUAUAC